UACGUAGGGUGCAAGCGUUGUCCGGAAUUAUUGGGCGUAAAGAGCUCGUAGGCGGUCUGUCGCGUCUGCUGUGAAAACUCGGGGCUUAACCCCGGGCCUGCAGUGGGUACGGGCAGACUAGAGUGCGGUAGGGGAGACUGGAAUUCCUGGUGUAGCGGUGAAAUGCGCAGAUAUCAGGAGGAACACCGAUGGCGAAGGCGGGUCUCUGGGCCGAUAUUGACGCUGAGGAGCGAAAGCGUGGGGAGCGAACAGG
rnacentral:rRNA from 1 species